rnacentral:rRNA from 1 species
UACGUAGGGUGCGAGCGUUGUCCGGAAUUACUGGGCGUAAAGGGCUCGUAGGCGGCCAACUAAGUCAGACGUGAAAUCCCCCGGCUUAACCGGGGAACUGCGUCUGAUACUGGAUGGCUUGAGGUUGGGAGAGGGAUGCGGAAUUCCAGGUGUAGCGGUGAAAUGCGUAGAUAUCUGGAGGAACACCGGUGGCGAAGGCGGCAUCCUGGACCGGCAUUGACGCUGAGGCGCGAAAGCCAGGGGAGCAAACGGG